GGCGUGGCCCCAGGGCCGAAAGUCCAUUUCGGGUGUUCCAGUGGGUCGCAAAAGGGGUGGAAGUGCCGGUUGCUGUUGACUUAUUUACAUAAGGAUUAGACGCAGACAAAGACGAAUGCCAAGACCUCAGAGGGCUCUCGGGUGAUAGAACUGAUGGAACGGCCUGGCUGUACAUCUGGCGUCAGGGGCUUCCGAGACAGAGUCUGCAUUUGGGGGCGCGGCGGCGACUUCAUUACUCUGCGUCAUUAGGCACUCAAAUUGUUGCCAUUGGGUUUAACUCUUCUACUGAGUACAGGGUAUAAAAAGGGUAUAUUAUAACUAAGCAAAACUAUUCAAAAAAGAGAGAUCCUAAGAAUCUGUAAAGAAGUGGUUUAUUAUGCAAUUUUAGACAUGAUAUUA